CAAUAGCGUAUAUUAAAGUUGUUGCAGUUAAAAAGCUCGUAGUUGGAUUUCUGGUUGAAGCGACCGGUCGGGCGUUGAUUCGUCUGCACUGGAGUCGGUUUUGGCCAUCCUCUAGGAAAGUGCGUCUGGUAUUAAGUUAUCGGGCGUAUGAUCCUGGUCUUUUACUGUGAAAAAAUUAGAGUGUUUAAAGCAGGCCUUCGCCUUGAAUACAUUAGCAUGGAAUAAUAAGAUAGGACUUUGGUCUAUUUUGUUGGUUUGCAGACCGAAGUAAUGAUUAAUAGGGAUAGUUGGGGGUAUUUAUAUUCCGGUGUCAGAGGUGAAAUUCUUAGAUUUUCGGAAGAUAAACUUAUGCGAAAGCAUUUACCAAGGAUGUUUNCAUUAA
rnacentral:rRNA from 1 species